rnacentral:rRNA from 1 species
UACGUAGGGUGCGAGCGUUAAUCGGAAUUACUGGGCGUAAAGCGUGCGCAGGCGGUGUUGUAAGACAGAUGUGAAAUCCCCGGGCUCAACCUGGGAACUGCAUCCGAUACUGGAUGGCUUGAAUCCGGGAGAGGGAUGCAGAAUUCCAGGUGUAGCGGUGAAAUGCGUAGAUAUCUGGAGGAAUACCGGUGGCGAAGGCGGCAUCCUGGACCGGCAUUGACGCUGAUGAGCGAAAGCUAGGGGAGCAAACGGG